rnacentral:rRNA from 1 species
GGUGAACGCUGGCGGUAGGCCUAACACAUGCAAGUCGAACGGCAGCACAGUAAGAGCUUGCUCUUACGGGUGGCGAGUGGCGGACGGGUGAGGAAUACAUCGGACUCUACUUUUUCGUGGGGGAUAACGUAGGGAAACUUACGCUAAUACCGCAUACGACCUACGGGUGAAAGCAGUGGAUCUUCGGACCUUGCGCGAUUGAAUGAGCCGAUGUCGUAUUAGCUAGUUGGCGGGGUAAAGGCCCACCAAGGCGACGAUCCGUAGCUGGUCUGAGAGGAUGAUCAGCCACACUGGAACUUAGACACGGUCCAGACUCCUACGGGAGGCAGCAGUGGGGAAUAUUGGACAAUGGGCGCAAGCCUGAUCCAGCCAUACCGCGUGGGUGAAGAAGGCCUUCGGGUUGUAAAGCCCUUUUGUUGGGAAAGAAAAGCAGCAGGUUAAUACCCCGCUGUUCUGACGGUACCCAAAGAAUAAGCACCGGCUAACUUCGUG